rnacentral:rRNA from 1 species
UAGCAUAUCAAUAAGCGGAGGAAAAGAAACCAACAGGGAUUGCCCUAGUAACGGCGAGUGAAGCGGCAACAGCUCAAAUUUGAAAUCUGGCCCUCGGGUCCGAGUUGUAAUUUGUAGAGGAUGCUUUUGGUGCGGUACCUUCCGAGUUCCCUGGAACGGGACGCCAUAGAGGGUGAGAGCCCCGUCUGGUUGGAUGCCAAUCCUCUGUAAAGCUCCUUCGACGAGUCGAGUAGUUUGGGAAUGCUGCUCUAAAUGGGAGGUAUAUGUCUUCUAAAGCUAAAUAUUGGCCAGAGACCGAUAGCGCACAAGUAGAGUGAUCGAAAGAUGAAAAGCACUUUGAAAAGAGAGUUAAAAAGCACGUGAAAUUGUUGAAAGGGAAGCGCUUAUGACCAGACUUGGGCUUGGUUGAUCAUCCGGCGUUCUCGCCGGUGCACUCUUCCGGCUCAGGCCAGCAUCAGUUUGCUUCGGGGGAUAAAGGCUUUGGGAAUGUGGCUCCCUCGGGAGUGUUAUAGCCCACUGUGUAAUACCCUGGAGCGGACUGAGGUACGCGUUCUGCAAGGAUGCUGGCGUAAUGGUCAUCAGUGACCCGUCUUGAAACACGGACCAAGGAGUCGUCUUCGUAUGCGAGUGUUCGGGUGUCAAACCCCUACGCGUAAUGAAAGUGAACGCAGGUGAGAGCUUCGGCGCAUCAUCGACCGAUCCUGAUGUUCUCGGAUGGAUUUGAGUAAGAGCAUACGGGGCCGGACCCGAAAGAAGGUGAACUAUGCCUGUGUAGGGUGAAGCCAGAGGAAACUCUGGUGGAGGCUCGCAGCGGUUCUGACGUGCAAAUCGAUCGUCAAACAUGGGCAUGGGGGCGAAAGACUAAUCGAACCUUCUAGUAGCUGGUUUCCGCG